rnacentral:tRNA from 1 species
GGUGAGGUGUCCGAGUGGUUGAAGGAGCACGCCUGGAAAGUGUGUAUACGCAAAAGCGUAUCGAGGGUUCGAAUCCCUCCCUCACCGCCA